UUAGUUGAAAAGAAAGAAAAACUUAUGUCAAUAGAUGGUUGUUUGGUGUUAAUCAAUUCUAUCCUUACCAGCUUAGCUACGUUUAUGUUGUGCUUUUUUUAAGGUCCCAGGGAAUUUGGAACGGUAAAGUGACCUAAAUAACUUGGAAGAGAGGGAGCAUGCAAUAAGCAAAGGGGCUAAGACAAAAAUAUGAACUUAACUGAUUUCUUGGUUCAAUCGAACCAGUGUGAUGUA
rnacentral:lncRNA from 7 species